rnacentral:lncRNA from 1 species
CAUCUGUAUUUCAUUUUGAAUUUAAUAUAUAAUUCACAGUUCUAGGGAGAAAAAUAUUACAGGGUUUCAUAUUACAAUUUGUCUUACUGAAGCAGCUGUUAUUUUCAUAAGGCAUCCGUUUAGUUGCAAGCCCCCUUUUUAACAGUGACAACAUGAACACUGGAAUAACUGUGGUACAUACAGCAUCCUGGAUGACUAGAAAGGAAGAGUUAUGAAAAACAAAUAUACAACUCAAACAUGAUUUAAUAUGGAUGUGCAGUAUAUGCACAAAGCAGGACUCUGUUGGGGGCUAGAGCUAUUACAGUUAAAUUAAGCAGGUGGUGACUUUUUAUACUYGAAACUAUUUUCAUCUAGUUGGGUAAGGAAGUAUUCUGUAGAGCAAAAGAGAAAUCAUUUUUAUUAUGUUUACAACUAUUAACAUAUCUGUUUCCCAUUAAAAGAAGCGCCAUUUGCAGCUCCUUCAACUUCAAGCGAAUUGAAAGUGUGCUAGAGCUGAUAAGUAAAAACCUACUUUAAAAUAUAUAAAAAGUGGUGCUAGGUUUUUGCUCUCAGACUGCUAUGAAUUUCCGUGUUUUGGAAUUUCUCUUUACGUAAAGCACGGCGCAGGAGUGCGUAUGUGAAGUGCAUCUUUUCAGGGGCAACAUUUAAAAGGCAGGCGUGCCUCAUGGCUGCGCUGAGGAGCAGGAGUCUCGUUACGUGGGGGUUGCUGUGGUGUUUUUGUUUUUUUUUUUUUAAUCCCAACAGAAUGUUAAGUCUGAAAAACCAGAGUUUUAACCAGCUGGACAAUGAACUGCUUCGAGUUACUCGGAAAGAACAGAAUGCAACGAUUACAGAAACAUAGAGCCCGAUCCACCGUCUUCUGAAAUCUGUGAGAACACUUCGGCUGAAAUCGGUAGGUUUGGAUCAGACCCUAUUUUGGGACCACAUUUCAGAGCUUUUCAGAUUCGAUGCCAUGCUACAGGCAGGUCCGUGACGGAUCCUUCUGCUCCAGCAUUUUUCACUAGGCAAAGCGGGACGGUGGCGCUGGUUCAGCAAGGUGCAGGACCCUGCACCAGCUCUCUCGCCACACAGAGCAGUACAAACAUUACGCCUGUGUGACAGCUCCACGUAAUCGUACGCCUAAAUUCUAGAUCUUGAGUGCCAGCAAGUCAAAGUCCUAGUGUUAAAAUAACAGGUUGCCCUUAUGCCUGUGGCUUAAUAACUGAUAUUGUUCUUUUAUGGGGGUGGAAAAAAGGACCUUCCAGAUAAAGA